rnacentral:rRNA from 1 species
GACGUAGGGCGCGAGCGUUGUCCGGAUUUAUUGGGCGUAAAGAGCUCGUAGGCGGUCUGUCGCGUCGGCUGUGAAAACCUGGGGCUCAACCCCGGGCCUGCAGCCGAUACGGGCAGACUAGAAUUCGGCAGGGGAGACUGGAAUUCCUGGUGUAGCGGUGAAAUGCGCAGAUAUCAGGAGGAACACCGAUGGUGAAGGCAGGUCUCUGGGCCACUACUGACGCUGAGAAGCGAAAGCAUGGGGAGCGAACAGG